rnacentral:rRNA from 1 species
GACGAACCGUGCAAACGUUGUUCGGAAUCACUGGGCUUAAAGGGCGCGUAGGCGGGCCAGCCAGUCUGUGGUGAAAGCCCCCGGCUUAACCGGGGAAGUGCCGUGGAUACUGCUGGCCUCGAGGAGGGUAGGGGCACCUGGAACGGUCGGUGGAGCGGUGAAAUGCGUUGAUAUCGACCGGAACUCCGGUGGCGAAGGCGAGGUGCUGGGCCCUUUCUGACGCUGAUGCGCGAAAGCCAGGGGAGCAAACGGG